rnacentral:rRNA from 1 species
UUUAGAGUUUGAUCAUGGCUCAGGACGAACGCUGGCGGUGCGCCUAAUCCAUGCAAGUGAACGGUCAACCCCGGCUUGCCGGGGAAGAUAGUGGCGGAAGGUUGAGUAACACGUAAGCGACCUGCCCAGAAGAGGGGGAUAAGCCUGAGAAAUCGGGUUUAAUACCCCGUACGUUCCGCAGGGUAGUGCCUGCGGAGGAAAGGCUCUCGAUUCGUCGGGUGGGGGUUAUGGAGGGGCUUGCGGCUUAUCAGGUAGUUGGUGAGGUAACGGCCCACCAAGCCUAAGACGGGUAGCCGGUGUGAGAGCAUGAUCGGCCAGAGGGGGAUUGAGACACGGCCCCCACUCCUACGGGAGGCAGCAGCAGGGAAUUUUGCGCAAUGGGCGAAAGCCUGAUGCAGCGACACCGCGUGGGGCCUGAAGGCCUUCGGGUGGUAAACCCCUUUUCUCGGGGAAGAGUAAGGACGGACCCGAGGAACAGUUCGC